UCAGGAUGAACGCUAGCGGCAGGCUAACGCAUGCAAGUCGAGGGCAUCGGGAGUAGCAAUACUUGCCGGCGACCGGCGCAAGGUGCGUAACGCGUGAGCAACAUGCCCGUAUCAGGGGGAUAAUCCAUGGAAACGUGGUCUAAUACCCCAUAGUAAUUAUGUAAGGCAUCUUAUAUAAUUUAAAGCUUUGGUGGAUACGGAUUGGCUCGCGUGACAUUAGCUAGAUGGUAAGGUAACGGCUUACCAUGGCUACGAUGUCUAGGGGUUCUGAGAGGAAGGUCCCCCACACUGGAACUGAGACACGGUCCAGACUCCUACGGGAGGCAGCAGUGAGGAAUAUUGGACAAUGGAUGGAAAUCUGAUCCAGCCAUGCCGCGUGCCAGGAAGACGGCCCUAUGGGUUGUAAACUGCUUUUGUAUGGGAGCAAUAAGGGCUACGCGUAGUCCGAUGAGAGUACCAUACGAAUAAGCACCGGCUAACUCCGUGCCAGCCGCGGC
rnacentral:rRNA from 1 species